AAUAUCCAAAUAUAACAAUGGGACUAAGGGUCAAGUUGGUAAUUUUUCUUACACCCCCACACCCAAGGGCCCAUGUAUCCUAUACACCGCCAAAAUAAAGAGCCUUGAGUGCUAGAAGAAAAUCACAUAGACCUAACGAAAUUAAGUGAAUACCCAAAAUUGUAGUAAUUUUAUUUCUAUCUUUCUA
rnacentral:antisense_RNA from 1 species